CUUCUUGCAUCUCUGCUGCCUCAUGGUCAGGAAGUCCUGGCGGGAGACUAGUGCCUAGUAUUUGCGGUGCCUGAAAACUUUCUUAAGGAGCAGUUGUUUUGCUGGCCUCCUAGGACAUAUUGGAGCUGGUCCUGUCAUCUUCCAGGUCAGAGGAGCUGUUGGACUGGGAAACGGGCAGGAGCUUGGCAGGCCUGUGGAGCAGGGGUGCAUUUUCUGCCGCCAUUCUCACAAUUCAGUGUUUGCGGACCGGAAAACUUCCUUAAGCUGCAGUUGCUCCUCCUAGGACACUGAGCAGCUGGUCCUGUCACCUUUCAGGUAUUCAUAUGCUCAGCCAAAUGUGCAUAACUGUAAAUCAACACUAAGGGCACCUGAUGGUUAAGGUCAAGGAGAUUCUCGCGAAGGAUCCAGGUAUGUUAGAGGUAUUGAACAAGGGGUGGAGUGGGGCUCACCUGUGAGUAGAAAGAGGACAUGAAUUUGAUUUUGCCAGAUUCUAUUUCCUUAAUGAUUCUGGAAAAGAAUAAUAGAUAUGAUGAUGUGGAUUUCCCGUGGUAGGCAGUGCUGUCACUCGACACUUGAUGUUAAUAUUAAAUUAAUUUUGAUUCUGGGAAAUCACUGUUGCCCAUUGUAAUUAAAGUUUCUUUUACCCAGAUUGAAAGCAUCAUCAGGCUAUGGUUGUGACAAGGGCAAUUUAUACAUAAAGCAAAUGUCAGCAGUAGAUUCCCUCCUAGGGCCUGUGACCUUCCUUAUGAAUUUUCAGGCAGAUUUUCACUGUAACCUAUGUAUUUUUUUUUCUUGUGGAGCUUGAACCAGAAAACCUUCUGUUACCCACAGAUAGUCUUGCCACUGUCAUAAAAAUUUCCAUGCCUUGUCUGGCAGAUUCAGAUUGUAGCAAGCAGCUUGCAAACCUGAGUAUGAUAUGGAUUAGCUCUGCUUCCUGCCCCAAUUUUCCUAGCAGUUUUUGUCACUAUGGAAGUUCCCACCAUGGUAUGUAAGAUGUCUGCUGAGAGUGAAUGGUCUGAUAUGAGGUGGUUUUCUCCAGAAGGUCUACUUGCUUUCUGAAUCACCUAUUCUGUCCACUCUAAAUGUUUUCCUGUCCUUGACCUGUGUUCUUAUUGAUGUUCUGUGUUGCAUUAGUCCCCAUUAGAGUGGAAUAAUUAUUGUUGACCUUCUCUGUACUGUUUGCUUUAGUUUUGAGUCUGUCUUAUUUCUGAGGUAUGUUUCUUCUCUUAUAUUCUUGAGAGCUUUUAUACUGAGCAGUGUCUACUUUUUACCACAGGGCUGUAUAAGUAAGUUUCAUUCUCCUAUUGUCACUGUAAUUUGGGAGGAUUCCUGCCUGCAUCUAUUAACCUAGGCCUAGUCAUGUAAGCUUCUACUCUACAUACAGUAUUAUCUAGGCCUGGUGUGUUUUCAGCCUCUGAAAUUUGCUGCUGAAUAAGCCCCCACCUUUUCUUAUUCCUUCUCAAUGCUUACCUGGCUGAUUCAAUUCUGUUUUUCCAGCUCACACUCCUCUCCCAGCUGAGUUCUUCUCUCAGACACUGAAUUGUUCUACUAGGCCUUAAAUUAACUGUCGAAAUCUUUUGUAAUCCUCUGGCUCUUUCUCAUUCUCCUGCUCAUUCUGUCUUUGCCCAUGCCUAGCAUGUUCUAUCUUCAAUCUGACUCUGUAAAACUCUCCCAGUAAAACUGUGUCCUUCUCCCUCUCUGUGGAUCUACUCUCUCAACUGUACUGUACUGCAGCCCAUGCACUCUACUGUAUUCCUUUAUUAUUCUCUUCUUUGUGUAAUGUCUUUCUCUGUCUCAAGUAGCUUCUCUUUCCUCUCUCAUUACAGCAAAGUUGGGCAUAUCCUAUUCUGUCAGAUCUUUCUCUAAUAUUCCAUAUUUUCUGUCAUUCAAUUAGACAUUGCUUUCAAACACAGGUGUGUUCUUCUACAUAUAAACUGUACCUUUGUUAUUUUGGAUUAAAGUGAAUACUAAGGUCUUGCCUGUACUAAAACCAGAGCGAUUAAUGUUGUGUCUUGGGCUGAACUGCACCCUAAGUCACAACAGGUUCAAGUAUCGCUACACAGUGUGAUGUCAGUUUACUUCUGUACAAUUUUUUCCUUCUGAAAUGAAAACCAAGAUCCACAUAUACUAUUCUUCAAUAUGUUGAUACCUAUUUCAUUUUUUCUGACUUCUACUUGGGAUUUUAUUAUAAUGUUCUUUGAAGAUCGGUCGAUGAUAUUCUGUUCCUUGUGAGAUUGUAUUCCUUAGGAUUUUUAAUCUGGAAGAUUUUGCUGGCAGUUUAGGUGGUAAAGUAUGUUUACUUUGUUCUCAAUUCCUUGUGUGGGAUAGAGCUUUAUUGUGUUGUAUAUGAGAAAUACUUACUACUUCUCCUGUGUUUAUUCAUUCUUAGCAAGAAAUUUCUUAUUUCUUAUGACCUUAUGAAAAAUGUAUGCGUUAUUUUGUGCAUACUUUCAUCAAUUCAUUUUCUAAGUAGUUUUUUUGUUUGUUUGUUUGUUUUCUUUUUGUGGUUUUUGUGUGGUUUUACGAGACAGGGUUUCUUUGUGCAGUCCUGACUAUCCUGGAACUCACUUCAUAGACCAGGCUGGCCUCAAACUCAGAAAUCCACUUGCCUCUGCCUCCCAAGUGCUGGAAUUAAAGGCAUGCUCCACCACUGCCCAGCUCUAACCAGGUUUUUGACUAAAAAACAUGUCCUAAUGAAUUACUACAUUCAAAUUUACUUUAUGUACUGUGAAUACUAGUAGCCACUUACUUUGGAUUGCUAGUUAUUUUCUCUCAGGGUUUGAAAAAUAUUAUUUCAUUCACUCUUGCUUUUAACCUAUGUAUAACUAUUUAUUACUACUGUAUGCUACUUUUAUGUCACCACACUAAUGGUAAGGGACAGGACAAG
rnacentral:lncRNA from 1 species